ensembl:lncRNA
AUGGCUUUGCUAUGGCAUUUACUUAGGAGAACAUGAUGUGCUGUGCCAUAUGCCAUGGUGACAAAGUGGUCCCUCUUUCCAUGCCUGGAGACACUGUGUGUUGACAAGGUGGAAGGGUGCUCAGCAAACAAGUUUCACAGUACUGAUGCUAUUUUGCAGAGUUGGAUUUCCUCGUAACAUUGGUUGUAAGAGGAGAUUUAUAAUGCUGUAUCCCAAAGGUACCCUUUAAAGCACCAGCUAUUUUAACAGAGGGAAAUGACAUAAGCAUCUCGAGAGGUAUUAAUAGUCACUAUUCUGUUUUAAUAGUCAUUUAUUUAAAGAUCUAGGAGCUGGAAAUCCUUGUAAUCAGUCAUAUGCUCUUCCCAAAGUCUGAAUCAAAGCCAUAUUACUGACACCUGGCUGGAAGUGAUUUUGCAGAUGCUAUUCCAGCUGUAAAUAGUAUAUUUACAGCUCAAACUUGGUGAAGACAAAGACUGCAGUAAUGGCAGAGGGACCCCUUAGCAGGUAACUUGCAGGAAAACUGUUGUAAGGGUCCUGUUAAACUUUCUCCUGUUUGCAUUAUUUUUAAUGGGAGUGGUAGGUGGGAGCUGGUUUUGUGGAGAAAUAGAGAUGGGAGUAGCCAAAAAUAGCAAAACCUAAAUGGGGGAUGUGGGAAGCCAAACCAGGGCUUUGGGGCUUUGUCACUCAUGUAUAAGAUACUCAGCCUGAAAGCCAUAAUGAUAAACACAAUUCAAAGGCUAAAUGAUCCUUCAAAAUGUUGUCCUUCACACAACAUUUAAAUCUCCUACUGGAGAACAGCCUCAUGAUGUAAAUCAUCUACCAGGAACAGGGGAAAAUAAGUCCAUGAAUACACAUGAAAGUGCCAUAGCUUUGAGAAGAACUGGCACGAGCUCCUGCUCACGUGUGCAGCAGGUGACACUUGGGACACGACAGGCUCACAAGACACUCCCACCUGGCCAUACCAGUCCUGGUCCUCACCAUCAGUGCUGCCAGCAGAGGGGAAAUUUCUCAAGAAAACAACAGACAGAUAGAAAAUCACAGAUAUGAUUUUCAUCAAGAAAUCAAACACGACAGUGUAAAUGUACUCAUUUUCAGGGAGGCAGCUUAUUCAACCUGCUGCACACAUCUCCACUGUAAAUGUGACAGUAACUGUAAAUUAAAAAUAACCCAAGAAACCAAACAGUGAGGAGGAAAGAGAAUGCAAGAAAGGCUGCUUCAGGGUACCGGCUGAUGACCUAAGAGUAUUUAUAUUGUCAUAAAGUAGUUUUCUCCUUAAAAGGCAGAUAAGACCACUUUCCUCAGUAAAUAGUGGAACUAUAUUGAGUCAAGAGCUUCUCCUUGGAGCUGCUUAUUUGUUUAGUGAGAGGUGGCUUCAGAGACACCACUGAGAAUUCUUUUCCCUAAUCAAGAGGCUGGACUGUGAGAAUUCAACUGAAUUUCCUUUCACUUGCCAAACUAAGCCUUGCAGCACUAGGAAGCUCAGGUUUUUCUGGAUUUCUCCAGUUCCAGUGAUUCCAAUGCCAUCAGCUCUCUGCCAGACUUCAUGAAGGCAUUUCUGAUUUUUUUCAGAAGCAAAGCAAAGCAGAAUUGCAAAACCCACCUGAAAUCAGUGCAGCCAAAAGUAAUCACCAUCCUAGCCUUGCUCUGAGUACACAAGCCUUCAUGGGUUAACUGUUACACAUUGGUUUAUAAAAUGCACUUGUGUCAGAAAACAUUUAUGUUAGCAGCUGCACCAGCAAGGUUAGUACCAAAAUAUCCUUCCGUGCUUUGGAGUUUGGCUGUUCAUUUGUUUGUUUUGUUCUUGUUCAUUAGGGGCUUUUUUAAAUCCUCAUCCUGUUCUAAAUAUGUGGAGUGAUUAACUCCUCUCUUUCUGUUUAAUUUUGCUUCAGCCUACUGUUUUUGCUUUUUUUUUUAUUUCAGAUGGAAGGAAAACUUCUAGUUUGGGUAUAAGAGAAGGAAAACACAACUGCACAAGCACAGCCCCCAAAAGACAGAAGCAUGCCUGUUUGUAUCUUAGCAUUAUAGAAUGGCUUGGGUUGGAAGGCACCUCAAAUAUCAUCUAGUUCCAACCCCCCUGCCAUGGACAGGGCCACUACACCAGGUUGCUCAAAGCACCACCCAGCUUGGCCUUGAACGCUUCCAGGGAUGUUCCAGUGCCUCAACACCUUCACAGGGAAGAAUUUUUUCCCGAUAUAUAAUCUAUCACCUGCCUUCCCCUUGUCCUAUCACUCCAUGCCCUUAUCCAAAGCCCCUCUUCAGCUGUCUUGUAGCCCCUUUAUGUACUGGAUUCUGCGUAAGGCUAGCACAUAAUGCUUAAAGAACAAAACCAAUGAAGUCACCACAGCAUAAACUACUUUGAAAUUACCUACAGCUGAACUGACUUGCCCUAUAGAUCCCUGAUAUUGCUGGAGGGGGCAGCAGUUAUCUUGUAGCAGGUAAGAAUGGGUGGUAAUGGCAAGAAGGAAAAAUAAUUUGAUAUAGCAGCAGCCACUGAACACAGUCUGAGACUGCAGGGCUCUAUUUUCAAGGAAAAUGUAUCUUCCCUGCUAGAACAAUGUGCAAACAUUUCUUGGAUCAUCUCCCUGUAUCAAAAUCACUGAGAGAAUUAACAGUGUGGUGAAAAGGGUGAGAGCUUCUCUAGGUUAACACACAGGAUCAGAUACUCAACCAAACUCAGUCAGUGUAAAAAAUGAGAUUUCUCUAACCAUAUAAUUUGAUUUACUGUUCUGUGCAGAAAGAGGUGCUGGGUGGUAAAUCCCAGAGGCAGCACCCCGAGGCACAGUCUUGGGCUAUUAAGUCUUACUUAAGUUACUACUUGGCUUAAGUUGUUACUGGCGCGUGGUGGUCUUUUUGUAGGGGGAGAUGCCUGAGCUGGGGUGUGGCUUUUACUGUUAUAAGGAGCAAAAGUUCAUCCCUAGGGCAAGUUCUCAGUACAGAACCAGUCAAAACCGGGGAUUUUUUUAGUUCAUCAUUACACAUCCUGGACUAGGAGGGUGUUAUCUUUCUGUGUUUUCCCCUUUCAAGAACUUAGGCCAUAAAUUUUCUCUCUUCCACAUUCCUGUGACUGUUGCUUCCAUUGCUUAACCACUUUGUUCUUUACCUUGUUUGGAACUUAACUCCCAUUAUUCAUCAAGGUGGUGAGAGGAAAGCUAAUGUCUUUAUAGACAAUUUGAUGAGUGACACUACUGGUAUUAACAUUUUUGAAACGGGUCUUAAUGUCUGUACUAACUUUGGGCAGCAGGUUUGUUGCAGAGACCAGACAGCUUAGCUCCUGAAACAAACAAGUGGGUCUGCACAAACCUCAACUUCUCAACUUUGGGGAAAAAUAGUAGGUACAAGGGGGAAUAUGUGGUAGGCAGUUUGGGAAGGCUGUACCUUCUGAGUACCUCAGCC